rnacentral:rRNA from 1 species
UACGUAGGGGGCUAGCGUUGUCCGGAAUCAUUGGGCGUAAAGCGCGUGUAGGCGGUCCGGUAAGUCCGCUGUGAAAGUCGAGGGCUCAACCCUCGAAUGCCGGUGGAUACUGUCGGGCUUGAGUACGGGAGAGGCGAGUGGAAUUCCUGGUGUAGCGGUGAAAUGCGCAGAUAUCAGGAGGAACACCGGUGGCGAAGGCGGUUCUCUGGGCAUGUCCUGACGCUGAGGAGCGAAAGUGUGGGGAGCGAACAGG